GUCCCGGUGGCGGAACUGGCAGACGCGUACGCUUGAGGGGUGUAUGCCGCAAGGCGUGGAGGUUCGAGUCCUCUCCGGGACAC
rnacentral:tRNA from 1 species